GGCUAAAGGAAGACUUCGUCCGGACUCUUACUUGGGUCGGACUUCAGGCUCCUCUCAAGUGGAUAACUAACCACCAGACACUCCAGCCGAACUUCAACCGACGGGUCUGCACUCCCUGGCGUGACACAGCAACAGCCACGAUCCUGCUCCACUUCCUGCGAUGGAUUCUGUGCGGCUCCAUUAUUCCCUGGCAGACCGCUAUGACGGCCACGAUCCUGCUCCACUUCGUGCGAUAGAUUCCACGCGGCUCCAUUAUUCCUUGGCAGACCGCUAUGACGGCCACGAUCCUGCUCCACUUCCUGCGAUGGAUUCCACGCAGCUCCAUUAUUCCCGG
rnacentral:lncRNA from 1 species